UGGGGAAUAUUGCACAAUGGGCGCAAGCCUGAUGCAGCCAUGCCGCGUGUAUGAAGAAGGCCUUCGGGUUGUAAAGUACUUUCAGCGGGGAGGAAGGGAGUAAAGUUAAUAACCUUGGCAAUUGACGUUACCGACAGAAGAAGCACCGGCUAACUCCGUGCCAGCAGCCGCGGUAAUACGGAGGGUGCAAGCGUUAAUCGGAAUUACUGGGCGUAAAGCGCACGCAGGCGGUUGAUUGAGUCAGAUGUGAAAUCCCCGGGCUUAACCCGGGAAUUGCAUCUGAUACUGGUCAGCUAGAGUCUUGUAGAGGGGGGUAGAAUUCCAUGUGUAGCGGUGAAAUGCGUAGAGAUGUGGAGGAAUACCGGUGGCGAAGGCGGCCCCCUGGACAAAGACUGACGCUCAGGUGCGAAAGCGUGGGGAGCAAACAGG
rnacentral:rRNA from 1 species